ACAACUGUUAACUUACCCUGUUUGUCAGAGCUGUUGCUAUCUGAGCAUAUGUACUUGAACAGAGAGAAAGAGAGAGAGAAAAUACAAGCAUCUCUUUGAAGGAGAGAGAUCUGGAGCCUUGUCAAAGAGCAAAAGUAGGCGUGAACUGCAACAAGCUUUUGUUGACUUGUUUUUGCUGCUGCCUCUACUACAUUACUGCAAGUGGUUUACUGCACAAGGAUUUCUCUGUGUAGCCCUGGCUGUCCUGGAACUCACUCUGUAGACCAGGCUGACCUCGAACUCAGAAAUCCGCCUGCCUUUGCCUCCCAAGUGCUGGGACUAAAGGCGCGUGCCACCACACCCGGAUUAAACUCUCUCAUUUUUACAUCUGUCUUCUCCACACUCUUCCCUCUCACUACUUCAUGUAAUUUUUAAAUUUGAUAGUUCACAAAUAUAUUUCUGUUACUUUUAAUUGGGAAAAUGUUAGAGUGCUGUAUUUUCUAUCUUAUGCCUUUUAAUUCAUAACAUUGUGGUGAGAGUAUACAGUNNNNNNNNNNNNNNNNNNNNNUACAUAGUAUUCCACUAUGACUGGGUCUUCCAUAGCCUAUUGAGCAUGUUGCUAACUAAUCCUCUGUUAUUGUGAACAUUGUUAUAAUGUAGCUACACGUGAGUCUUUUUAUGCAUUUAGUAUAUGUUCUAGGAAACAUUCCUGAAAUUUGAAAUACUGGGUCAAAAGGUAAAUGCAUAUUCAAUCUUAUUAAAUAUGUCAAAUCCCC
ensembl:lincRNA Gm13982 predicted gene 13982